rnacentral:rRNA from 1 species
UCUGGUUGAUGCUGCCAGCGCGGGCUGCUAUUGGUGUUAGGUAAGGCAUGCAAGUCUAUCGUCCUUCGGGAUGAGGCGAAAAGCUGAGGAACACGUUGGUAAGCUGCCCUUGAGACGGGGAUAACCACGGGAAACUGUGACUAAUACCCGAUAGCUGAGGAUCCCUGGAAAUGGGCCAUCAGUUAAAUGCUACGGCGCUCAAGGAUGCACCUGCGUCCCAUUAGGUAGUUGGUGGUGUAACGGACCACUAAGCCAUUGAUGGGUAACGGCACUUAAAGGUGUGGCCGUCAGAUCGGGACUGAGACAACGCCCGGGCCUCCACGGAGUCCAGCAGUCAGGGAAAUUCCACAAUGCCGGAAACGGUGAUGGAGUAACGCCAAGUGAUAAGAUCACUCUUAUCUGUUGUAUAGUGUAAACAGCUAUAUGAGGAAGCAGAGGGCAAGGAUGGUGCCAGCAGCCGCGGUAAAACCAUCUCUGCGAGUGGACCGCUUUUAUUAGGCUUAAAGCGUGCGCAGCCGGACCAAGUAGUCUUCGGUGAAAGCCUGUCGCUCAACGAUAGGAAAUGCUGGAGAAACCAUUGGUCUUGGGACUGGGAGAGGUAGGCGGUACUGAUGGGGUAGCGGUGAAAUGCGUAGAUCCUGUCGGGACCACCUGUGGCGAAGGCGGCCUACUGGAACAGAUCCGACGGUCAGGCACGAAAGCGUGGGUAGCGAAGCGGAUUAGAUACCCGUGUAGUCCACGCCGUAAACGCUCUGCACCAAGUGUAGCCGUAUUUAGAUACGGCUGUGCUGUCGAGAAAUUCUUGAGUGCAGCGCCUGGGGAUUACGGUCGCAAGACUGAAACUUAAAGCAAUUGACGGGGCUCUACCGGAACGCGUGAGACUUGCGGUUUAAUUGGACUCAACGCCAGAAACCUUACCUGAGCCGUUUAUAGUAAUGAUUGUCAGCUUGAUGAGCUUACGUGAGCUAUAAAUAGGUGUUGCAUGGCCCAUUUUAGCUCGUGCCGUGAGGUGUUUGCUUAAGUGCAAAAACGUAGCGAGACCGGCGUCCUUAUUUGCCAGU